UACAGAGGUCCCAAGCGUUGUUCGGAUUCAUUGGGCGUAAAGGGUGUGUAGGUGGCGCCGUAAGUCGGGUGUGAAAUUUCGGAGCUUAACUCCGGAAACUGCAUUCGAUACUGCGGUGCUUGAGGACUGGAGAGGAGACGUGGAAUUCAUGGUGUAGCAGUGAAAUGCGUAGAGAUCAUGAGGAAGACCAGUGGCGAAGGCGGGUCUCUGGACAGUUCCUGACACUGAGACACG
rnacentral:rRNA from 1 species